UACAGAGGGUGCUAGCGUUAUUCGGAAUGACUGGGCGUAAAGCGCGUGUAGGCGGUUCGGUAAGUCUGAUGUGAAAGCCCCCGACUCAAUCGGGGAAGUGCAUCGGAUACUGCCGGGCUGGAGUGCAGGAGGGGAGAACGGAAUUCCUGGUGUAGAGGUGAAAUUCGUAGAUAUCAGGAGGAACAACGGUGGCGAAGGCGGUUCUCUGGACUGUAACUGACGCUGAGACGCGAAAGCGUGGGGAGCAAACAGG
rnacentral:rRNA from 1 species